rnacentral:rRNA from 1 species
UACGUAGGGUGCAGGCGUUAAUCGGAAUUACUGGGCGUAAAGCGUGCGUAGGCGGCGGGGUAAGUCGGGUGUGAAAUCUCAGGGCUCAACCCUGAAAUUGCAUUCGAUACUGCUUCGCUUGAGCUCUGAAGAGGAGGUUGGAAUUUACGGUGUAGCAGUGAAAUGCGUAGAUAUCGUAAGGAAGGCCGGUGGCGAAAGCGAACCUCUGGGCAGCAGCUGACGCUGUGGCACGAAGGCUAGGGGAGCAAACGGG